rnacentral:snoRNA from 1 species
AGGCUGUGAUGACAACUAGAUUACUUGUUCAUAAUUUAAUUUCAGUUAAUACCAAAUCCGACGACUUUAUUUGUGCGUGUUUGAGCCGG